UACGUAGGGCGCAAGCGUUGUCCGGAAUUAUUGGGCGUAAAGAGCGUGUAGGCGGCCAGGUAGGUCGGUUGUGAAAACUGGAGGCUCAACCUUCAGAGGUCGACCGAAACCAUCUGGCUAGAGUCCGGGAGAGGAGAGUGGAAUUCCUGGUGUAGCGGUGAAAUGCGCAGAUAUCAGGAAGAACACCCGUGGCGAAAGCGGCUCUCUGGAACGGUACUGACGCUGAGACGCGAAAGCGUGGGGAGCGAACAGG
rnacentral:rRNA from 1 species